UACGUAGGGUGCAAGCGUUGUCCGGAAUUAUUGGGCGUAAAGAGCUCGUAGGCGGUUUGUUGCGUCGGCUGUGAAAACCCGAGGCUCAACCUCGGGCCUGCAGUGGGUACGGGCAGACUAGAGUGCGGUAGGGGAGAUUGGAAUUCCUGGUGUAGCGGUGGAAUGCGCAGAUAUCAGGAGGAACACCGGUGGCGAAGGCGGAUCUCUGGGCCUUACCUGACGCUCAGGCGCGAAAGCUAGGGGAGCGAACAGG
rnacentral:rRNA from 1 species